rnacentral:rRNA from 1 species
GAAGUUACGUUUUCACCCUCGGGUGACAGGGAGACAGGUGGUGCAUGGUUGUCGUCAGCUCGUGUCGUGAGAUGUUGGGUUAAGUCCCGCAACGAGCGCAACCCCUACGUUUAGUUGCUAACGCGUGAAGGCGAGCACUCUAGACGAACUGCCGUUGACAAAACGGAGGAAGUGGGAUGACGUCAAAUCAUCAUGCCCCUUAUGUUCUGGGCUACACACGUGCUACAAUGGCCGGUACAGACGGAGGCGAAGCCGCGAGGCGGAGCAAAUCCGAAAAAGCCGGUCUCAGUUCGGAUUGCAGGCUGCAAUUCGCCUGCAUGAAGUCGGAAUCGCUAGUAAUCGCAGGUCAGCAUACUGCGGUGAAUACGUUCCCGGGCCUU